GAUGAACGCUGGCGGCGUGCCUAAUACAUGCAAGUCGAGCGAACGGACGAGAAGCUUGCUUCUCUGAUGUUAGCGGCGGACGGGUGAGUAACACGUGGAUAACCUACCUAUAAGACUGGGAUAACUUCGGGAAACCGGAGCUAAUACCGGAUAAUAUUUUGAACCGCAUGGUUCAAAAGUGAAAGACGGUCUUGCUGUCACUUAUAGAUGGAUCCGCGCUGCAUUAGCUAGUUGGUAAGGUAACGGCUUACCAAGGCAACGAUGCAUAGCCGACCUGAGAGGGUGAUCGGCCACACUGGAACUGGGACACGGUCCAGACUCCUACGGGAGGCAGCAGUAGGGAAUCUUCCGCAAUGGGCGAAAGCCUGACGGAGCAACGCCGCGUGAGUGAUGAAGGUCUUCGGAUCGUAAAACUCUGUUAUUAGGGAAGAACAUAUGUGUAAGUAACUGUGCACAUCUUGACGGUACCUAAUCAGAAAGCCACGGCUAACUACGUGCCAGCAGCCGCGGUAAUACGUAGGUGGCAAGCGUUAUCCGGAAUUAUUGGGCGUAAAGCGCGCGUAGGCGGUUUUUUAAGUCUGAUGUGAAAGCCCACGGCUCAACCGUGGAGGGUCAUUGGAAACUGGAAAACUUGAGUGCAGAAGAGGAAAGUGGAAUUCCAUGUGUAGCGGUGAAAUGCGCAGAGAUAUGGAGGAACACCAGUGGCGAAGGCGACUUUCUGGUCUGUAACUGACGCUGAUGUGCGAAAGCGUGGGGAUCAAACAGGAUUAGAUACCCUGGUAGUCCACGCCGUAAACGAUGAGUGCUAAGUGUUAGGGGGUUUCCGCCCCUUAGUGCUGCAGCUAACGCAUUAAGCACUCCGCCUGGGGAGUACGACCGCAAGGUUGAAACUCAAAGGAAUUGACGGGGACCCGCACAAGCGGUGGAGCAUGUGGUUUAAUUCGAAGCAACGCGAAGAACCUUACCAAAUCUUGACAUCCUUUGACAACUCUAGAGAUAGAGCCUUCCCCUUCGGGGGGCAAAGUGACAGGUGGUGCAUGGUUGUCGUCAGCUCGUGUCGUGAGAUGUUGGGUUAAGUCCCGCAACGAGCGCAACCCUUAAGCUUAGUUGCCAUCAUUAAGUUGGGCACUCUAAGUUGACUGCCGGUGACAAACCGGAGGAAGGUGGGGAUGACGUCAAAUCAUCAUGCCCCUUAUGAUUUGGGCUACACACGUGCUACAAUGGACAAUACAAAGGGCAGCGAAACCGCGAGGUCAAGCAAAUCCCAUAAAGUUGUUCUCAGUUCGGAUUGUAGUCUGCAACUCGACUACAUGAAGCUGGAAUCGCUAGUAAUCGUAGAUCAGCAUGCUACGGUGAAUACGUUCCCGGGUCU
rnacentral:rRNA from 1 species